rnacentral:lncRNA from 1 species
GGCGAGGCCCUGUGGCAGGCGGGGCCUAAGUAAAACAGAUAUGUGACAGAGCGGGGCUCGAAGCCAGGCGGGGCCUGGAGCGGCGGGGCCGUUGUAGCGGGCGAGGCCCGAGGUAGGGGGCGAGGCCCAGAAUAGCGGGUGUGGCCCAGUAUUUGCAGUAUGUGUUAGUUGCAGCUAGAUAGAGGGCAUGGCCCAGUAUGUGCAGUGUGUAGUUAUGUGCAUGGUAUGUGGUAGGGUGGGGAACUCACUAAGCUUCGUGCUUACGGUUUUCAAUUUUGGUUUCAGGUACUUCCAGUAGCUGAUGAUGGAUCUCGGGGUGAUCGCAUGGCACACACCAUAGGAUUGUCAAUCUGGGAAUGUUUUACUCUGAUAUUGAACAUGUGUUUUGAAAGUUAUUACUUGAUUAUGUUUUAAAUCGAUGACUUUACUUGAGUAAUGUUUUAUUUAAAAGCAAUUUUUUUAGUCUUAAAUUUUGGGUCGUUACAAGUUGGUAUCAGAGCCUUGGUUUGAGGGAUUCGGACAUGCUCUCGAGUGUGUCUGAACUCAAAAUGGGGAAUUGGUAUGAAAGUUUUCAAAACGAAAAGACAGUUUUGUAAAAAGAGGGUUUUGAGAAGGAAAAUGGUUUUAGAAAAACACAAAGAAUUAAGAAAGAAAAGAACUUUGAAAAAAGAAAAUGGGUGUGGUGCAUGCAAUCAGCCGAGCUCAAGUAAGUACCCCAAAAUACCCAUACAAGUUUAUGAUUCUAUUAUCAGUUAGUAGAACAACAUGCUAGAAUAGGGCUAAGGAUCUAGGAAGGAUGCCUUAUGUGCCUGAUUAUAUGUUUUGCAUUGCAUGAUAAUGUUGAUUAGACAGUAGUAGGAUAGCCUGUUUAGGUUAUGUCUGAUGUUAUGAGUUGUGUUGCAUGCUAGUUCAGAUUCUUGCUAUGUGAAUAUGAUUGCUUGUGUAUGUUAUGGCUAGAUUUUCCCUUGUUCGAAUGUUGCAUGCUUUGUGCAUUGUGGGAUUUUGAGUGAUGGGAGUUAGCUAUUAGGUGGAUACGCCACAUCACAUGUGAUCAGGGUUGAAUAAUCCCAGAGUGCUGGAUUUGGCCCUAUUUCGCAGCUCUUGUUUGAGUCCAACCGUUGUAGGGAAGAGUCUUUUACUCGAAGGAUUAUCUGAGCCUCAUCACAUGUGAUGGUAUCCAGGUAAUGGCUAACUGGCAUCGCGAGGAAGCCUUCAGCAGCUGAGGACUGGUUUGAGUUGAGCCAGAGGUUUCCCUAGGGUCAGCCUAGGAUGAGAUAGUACUGGGAGCGGAAGUAGUAGAAAAGGAACCUGGUGGAGUCAAGGCAGUUCUUGAGGAAAGUACGGAUAGAUGUGGAAGGUAGUAUGGGCCCGUAAUACUGAAAGCAGAGGAUCCGUACUCGAUUCGGGAAAGGCCGAGACAAGACUGGGAACCUGGUGGUGCGUGUGUUUGGUCUCGCAGCAGUGAUAAGUGUUCUGAUAGCGGUUGUGUUGUUUGUGCAGAAUGGUGACGUUGCGAGAAAGACCAGUGGGUGGAUUAGGCGCCAGAGAGGGAUCAAGCUCAGGUUCAGAAGUCGAGCAGCUCGAGGAGCGAAUGAGGGAAUUGAUAUCAGCGGAAGUUACGCGCAAUGUUCUAGACCAGACUCCUGUGAUCUUUGGGACGGUCAAGGAGGGUAUACUGGAGAUUUUAGACGAGAGGCUGGGAGCCUUCCGUACCGAGAUGAUGGCUUUGUUAGGAGCGCGUACCUUGACAUUUAGAGAGUUUAGGGCCUUCGGGGCACCAGAUUAUCAUGGGGCUAAGGAUCCCAUUGAUAGCAGNUGAUGUUGCCAACGCUUUUCGUACGAGCAAGUGUCCCGAGGGGGACAAGGUUAGACUCGCCUCCUGUCUUCUGAAGGACAGAGCGAGGGAUUGGUGGGAAGAGAUUGGUCAUGCCCUAGGAGAUGAUGCCGCGUUGUACGUGAUGACAUGGAGUGAUUUCUCGACCAGGUUUAGAGCGGAGUUCUCACCGACUAUUAAGGUGCAGCAGCUGGCACGGGAGUUUCAGGAUUUGAGGCAGACUACUGAGACUGUAGCGGAGAUCACCGCCAACUUUAGGGAGAGGGCUCUUCUCGUACCGCAGUAUGUCGCGGAUGAGGAGAUGAAGAAGGCCCGAUACCAUGAGAUGUUGAGGGCUGACAUCAGGGAGUUUGUGAGCAGGUCCGACUGUAAAACAUUGGAAGAUAUGAUUUCUCGGGCCAGAGAAAGGGAAAUUGAUUUGGAGUAGAUCCGGAAGAGGAAGCCGGAUAAGGUUCAGGUAGCUGCGGGUUCGGGCAAAAGGCCCAAGGGAUCGAAUUCGAGAUCGAGGGGUUAUCAAGACCAUAGUCGGUGUGGAAAGUGUGGCUGGACGCACGGGGGCGCGUGCAGGAGUGGUAGCGGUGGUGAUCUAGCUGCUUCAAGUGCGGUCGGACUGGUUAUUUUAGCAGAGAUUGUACUGUUACCACCGCAUAGGGAUCUGAUUUGAUAUGUUUUCAUUGCAACCAGCGGGGCCACAAGAAGGCCCAGUGUCCCAGUUUGCUUUCGGCAGGACGGGUGAUGGCACCCGCCCCUGCAACCUUGAGGAUCACGGAUGGCCGCCAGGGCCAGGUAGAGGCACCUGCAGCAGGGAGCAGGGCUUAUCAGAUGACAACCUUGGAGGCGCGAGCAGCGCCGGACAUGGCAGGUAUGUGUCUUCCGUUUUCAGUUCUUUUAUUUGUGUAUGAUUAUAUUGUUAUGGUUCCGCAUCAGUAUCGGUAUAAGUAUUUUAUUUUGAGUAGUUGAUUGUGAUCGAGUUGUAUGCCAUCUGCAUACCCUGGAUAUUUGUACGAUAGUUAGGGGAUGUGCCCUAUUGAAGAAGGUUUCGAAGGAUGCAGUAACUGUAGCAUGCUUGGGAGGAAUUUGCAAAAGAUCGGGAUCUCUUUUGAGUAAUCGAGCAGCAAGGGGUAAGCAAGAUCGAAGUGGGGGAGAAUCCUCCGAGUGUGCCCAGGUAGGAGCACGCAGCCACAGAACGAGUAGAGGACCUCCAAGAAGGAAAAGAAGUAGUUCAGCGUCCGAUGGAUUGCGGAUUCAGGGUUGGGAGUUUGAGAAACUCCCUGGCAGCUAGCGCAUGCGAUGGUGAUGGUUAGUACGUGGAUGGGAAUUCAGGUUGUGGAUCGCCCGAAGGACUCAAGGGAGUCGGAAUGAGGAUCUUGAGAGCGAAUGGCACAUGGGUGCCUUCGUAUAAGCAGUCAGUGGUGAAAGUGUUGUAAGACUACGGGGCAACCGUAGCAUUCACUAGCGGUCAGAAAUGGGGGGUGAUGUAAGACUACGGGUAAGCCGUAACAUUCCUUAGUAGAUUCGUUAGCGGAGUUGGGGCGAGGCCCUUAUCUCCUAGUGAUCAGAUAGGGAUUAGGAAUGGGUAGUGGAUGCGAAUGAUAGGGAGUUUGCCUGUUUAGCCCUAGAAAGGUGAGACCUUGGGAGAGGCCGCUCCAGGAUAUAGUGGGUGGGACCCGUGGGCGAGGCCCGAGCGAGAGUGGUUAGACUAGUGGGACUAGGAGGUUAGAGGCGGGUGGGACCUGUGGGCGAGGCCCGAGAGUUUUAGCAGCACAGGUGGGAUCUGGUAAGGACCCUAUUGUCGAGAUAGGGGAUCGAGGGUCCCAGGUUUGUGGCGCCAGAAUGGCACGAUAGAUUGAGAAGUGCUAGGUGGUUGAAGUUCUUUCGGAAGUCGCUGAGAGCGACUAAGGCUUGUGUUGGGUCAGCAAGCGGGGGGAGCCGGUAAACCAGAUAUUGAUAGGCUUGGUAGGGACCAGGGUGGUCUCAGUUCAUUCGAAAGUCGGAAGAAGAACAGCAGAAUUGCCAGGCAGUGGCAGUGCGAGUAUGCAACGUUUGGUUGAAUUCAGUUGGUUGAUCGAGAGGUGCUCGGCACCAAGUUUUGGGCAGAGAGGAGUGUCAGUGGUUAUUGGCAGUGAUGACCCGUGCGGGCAGUAGUGGGAGUGAUGAAGUUGGCGAAGGUUAGGACCUUCUCAGCAGCAGAGGAAAUAGUUAGUUUGGAGUGUUGCCUUGGGAAGGCAAGGAGUCGCGCAAGGAAAGAGGGGGUGAAUCCCUAUGGGUUCGGUGCAGAAUUCAUAGAGUGCCAGAAGGUCUGUCGGUCAAGUAAGUUGUGCUUCUAGGAGGUUCAGGGUCAGGGUUGACCCAAGAUUAUCAUCCGCAGGUGGUGGGCCAUAGCAAACUUCGAGGACGAAGUUUAGUUUAAGUGGGGGAGAGUUGUAACACCCAAAGUUUUGAAAGCCAAGAAAGUAAAGGAAACCCUAAAUCUAAGGGGGACUCGGCGAGUCCAAGGAGGAACUCGGCGAGUCCAAGGAGGAACUCGGCGAGUCCGAGCGGGAUCCGAGUCGAGGAGUAAGUGACUAACUCGGCGAGUCGGCCAAGGCGAGUCGGCGAGUAGGGUCUGUGCGAGGAAAACCCUAAAUCCAGGACUUGGAGCCCAUAUAAGCGUCUCAUUCUUCUUCCUAGGGCUCCUUUACUGCCUCUCCAACCCAGAAUACGAACCUUUAACCGCCAUUGUUGCUUAUUCAAGCUCCUUGCCAUUUUGUGGGUGAUUUGAAGGAAGAAGGAGGGAAGGAAUCAUUGAGGCUUCAAGGAACUGCAGCGAAUCCAGAGUUGAAGGACAUUUCAGAGCACUUAAAGGUAAUAAGUCGCUUCCUUCAUCCAGAUCUACCUUGGUUAUGGGUUUUGGGGCUUUUAAGCCAUGUUUAAGAUCAAUCUUGAGCUUGAGGUCCGGAUCUGAGGUUGCUACCUCAGAUCCAUGCUUAUUUUGGUCUAGAAUCCCGUAAAGUAGCAGCCAUGGAGUGGAUUAUGGAGCCUCUUAGUCUUAAACCUUAGUUUAUGGUGCAUUUUGCUUAGAUCUCCUUCUCUACACAUAAAGUUUGCAACUUUACGUGAGGAAUGGGCUUGGGAAGGGUGGAUCUACCGUAUGGAGUCCCUGCAUGACUCAAAAGUCCUCUGCAUGUGUGUUUAACCGAUUGGACUCGGCGAGUCCUUCGAGUGGACUCGGCGAGUAACUUGAAGAUGAGGGGGAACUCAACGAGUGGGAUGAACAGCUCGUCGAGUCGGAUGAAGAUGGGCAAGAACUCGGCGAGUUGGAUGAACAACUCAGAGUUGGAUGAACAACUCGGCGAGUUGGUUGAAGAUUGCCUUGUACUCGGCGAGUCUGUUCUUAGACUCGCCGAGUCAGGUCGCGUAGUCCCAAACCCUUCGAGUUAAGACUCGAGUCAGCGAGUCGAGCAAGGACUCAGUGUGUUGGACAGGACAGGAAUCGGGAAUCAGUAGACUCGGCGAGUCAAGACGUGAUUAGAAGGACUUCGAGCAUAAGAACUCGCCGGGUCAGUAAGUGGACUCGGCGAGUAGGGUUGACCUGGAAGGUUGAAUUUGACCAAGACUUUGACUUGGACUAGAGUUAGCUUGGUUGACUGUCGGGGUUCAGUUAGACUAAGUGUUGCAUUGAUAUUGAUAGCUCAGGAAGCAAGUAGAGCAGGAGUUCAGUGAGUGGUCGGGCAGCAGCUAGUGGGAUCAUCAGCAAGAUCAGCCAGUACAGGUGAGUUUCCCUUAGUGUGAAUGGGUCUAGGGCCACAAUGUCGGCUCAUGUAGUUACGAGUAGAAGUCCCGGGGGUUAGCCCUAGGCACAGUAUGCUAAUAUAAUUUUAAGGACGAGGUCCGGUAAUAGCAGGCGGGUACCCAAGGAAUGGUUUAUGUGAUACUUUGUACUUGUUGUUUGUGUGAUACUUGUAUGUGCCUGGUAGGGAGGUGGGUGUGGGCGAGGUCCCGUACCUUACCAAUACCAGAGUGUGGAUGGUGUUCCACAUCUCAUUAGCAGGUGAUCAGGGGUGAGGCCCAAGUUAGGAAAGGGUGAGUGUGGGCUAGGCCCGUAUCUCACUAUCAGUAGGAGUAUGGACGGGGUUCCAUGGCUUGUCAGUAGCAGAAUAAGGGCGAGGCCCAGGAUAGGCGAGGCCUUUGAAUAGAAUCUUGUUAGCAGAUGUUUAGCUUAUGUGUCGUGAUAUGAUUAUGUGCUAUUAUGUGUUAGUGGGCGAGGCCCUAUGGCAGGCAGGGCCUAAGUAAAACAUAUCUGUGACCGAGCGGGNNNNNNNNNNNNNNNNNNNNNNNNNNNNGGGGCCGUUGUAGCGGGCGAGGCCCGAGGUAGGGGCGAGGCCCAGAAUAGCGGGCGUGGCCCAGUAUUUGCAGUAUGUGUUAGUUGCAGCUAGAUAGAGGGCGUGGCCCAGUAUGUGCAGUGUGCAAUUAUGUGCAUGGUAUGUGGUAGGGUGGGGAACUCACUAAGCUUCAUGCUUACGGUUUUCAGUUUUGGUUUCAGGUACUUCCGGUAGCUGAUGAUGGAGCUCGGGGUGAUCGCAUGGCACACACCAUAGGAUUGUCAACCUGGGAAUGUUUUACUCUGAUAUUAAACAUGUGUUUU